CAGUACGGUAACAUGCUGUACAAGUUUGUAGCCUAGGAGCAACAGGCCAUGCCAUGUAGCUUAGGUGUGGAGUAGGGUGCACCAUCUAGGUUUGUUUAAGUACAUUUUGUGGUGUCUGCACAGCAGUGAAAUUGCCUGAUGAUGCAUUUCUUAGAACAUAUCUUCCUCAUGAAGAUAUGCAUGACUGCAUCUCCUUUAUAGUCCUCAUUCUAUUUGUCCUGUCUGCUGCAUGGAUGUAUUAACCACUCUCCUUGAAACCUUUUGCUUCCUUGGCUUCUUGAAGCCACUCUUUCUUUGUUCAUUUCCUUUUUUCCCCUUUAAUUUUGGGUUUUCAAAAUAGUAGGUAUGACACGGAAUGCAAGGUCAGUAGCAGAAAGCAGUGAAUGGUAAGUUGGUUCUACUUGUGAUCCAAGAAGGAAGUAAAAGACAUUCAAGGUAAAUACCGUGAAGACACAGAAGCCAAGGAGGUGAUGUGCCAGAAGCUAUCGUGGAAAGCUGGGGCCAAGGAUUAGGAGCUGAACACCACUAAGAAAAGUCUCAGAUCCAGCUCCUCCUCUGGCUACAGUUACACAAUGUUACAUACCUAGGCUCCAAAAGCAGAUGGAUUUGCAUUGGAACCCUAGGGCUCCUGUCUGCUGUGUGACUUUGAACAAGGCUCCUGACCCUCUCUGCCUUUGAUUCCUCAUUGGUAAAUAGGUACAUACUAGUGACAUCACAUGUUGGUUAUGAAGUCACAUCACAGGUUUCAAAUGAAAUAAUAUAAAGAAAAAGGGAAUGAAUAAAAGCUUAGCUUAACCUACAUAAAGCUCUAUAUACUUAAUUGUUGUUACUCUUAUUAUUCUAUGCCAGUAUAAGCCCUUAAGUGUUUUCAAUGUGUUUUAAAAGAUUUCUAACUGGUCUCCCUAACAUAAGACCCAAUAAAUUCAUUGUCUUGAUUGUCAGAAUUAUAUUUUAAAAAGCUAAAUCUGAUCAUGUCACUUCCCUGCCCCAAAGCUUCUAAUGUUCUUGUUCUCUAUGUGACUGCCUUUUAUGCCAUACUGAAGUAUCGACUUAAAAUGGAAUCAACUUCUUAAAACUGAAACGGCAUCUUCUACCUUUCUCGUUUAUUUCCUGCUACUCUCCCAGAAGUAUAGUCUUCAUGAACACCAAACCUAUUCUUUCAUAGACCUACCAGUCCCUUUGAAGCUGAUGGGCCUCCUUCUGUUUCCUGUUUCAGUACUUGCCCCAUUUAAUCUAGAAAAUUCCUACUUGUCCUUAAGACCUAGGGAUGGCUUCCUCUAAGUAAAAAUUGAAUGCCUCUCGGUGCUAUGAAGAGUACUUUAUUCACAGCAUUUGUGACAUGGAAUUUACAAUUACUGAAUUGCAAUUACUUUCCCUAGGGAACGGUCCAUUUGUGAAUAAAAAUCAAAUCUGG